rnacentral:pre_miRNA from 1 species
AUUUUGAUUGAUUUGUCUUUUUCCGCUUACUGCCGGUGGCAUUUGAAAUUCUCGACAGCAAACCGAAAAAGGCGCCUCAAUCAAUU